rnacentral:misc_RNA from 1 species
UUUCCGUAGGUGAACCUGCGGAAGGAUCAUUAUUGGAUUUUGAAACUUCAGGCUGCUGCUGGCUCUCCUCGGAGAGCAUGUGCACGCUUGUUGUCCAUUAUUUCUCCCACUGUGCACAAAUUGUAGACCUUUCAGUAGGCCUAUGUUGUUUUUCACAAUCUCUGAAUGUAAUAGAAUGGUUUUGAAUCUUGGGAAAUACAAUACAACUUUCAGCAACGGAUCUCUUGGCUCUC